GUGGCUUUAGCACAGUGGUAGAUUGCGGCGGAUUGCAAAUCCGUAGGUCCCCGGUUCGAUCCCGGGAAGUCACUUA